rnacentral:rRNA from 1 species
UACGGAGGGUGCAAGCGUUGUCUGGAAUCACUGGGCGUAAAGGGCGCGUAGGCGGCCCGGUAAGUAGGGGGUGAAAUCCUGCGGCUUAACCGCAGGGCUGCCUUCUAAACUGUCGGGCUCGAGCACGGUAGAGGCAGAUGGAAUUCCCGGUGUAGCGGUGGAAUGCGUAGAGAUCGGGAAGAACAUCAGUGGCGAAGGCGGUCUGCUGGGCCGUUGCUGACGCUGAGGCGCGACAGCGUGGGGGAGCAAACAGG